AAAUGCGAUAAUUAAUGUGAAUUGCAGAAUUCAGUGAAUCAUCGAGUCUUUGAACGCACAUUGCGCCCCCUGGUAUUCCGGGGGGCAUGCCUGUCCGAGUGUCAUUGCUGCCCUCAAGCACGGCUUGUGUGUUGGGCUUCCGUCCCUGGCAACGGGGACGGGCCCAAAAGGCAGUGGCGGCACCAUGUCUGGUCCUCGAGCGUAUGGGGCUUUGUCACCCGCUCCCGUAGGUCCAGCUGGCAGCUAGCCUCGCAACCAAUCUUUUUAACCAGGUUGACCUCGGAUCAGGUAGGGAUACCCGCUGAACUUAAGC
rnacentral:misc_RNA from 1 species